GGAAGCAUCAUUUGAGAUUUGUCGAAAACCGAAGUAGCUAGGGGGGAGUCUGUCAACGGUUUGACAUUGAUUAUCUCACCAGGGCAAUGGUUUAUUUAUAAAAAUAUAUGAGAUACUUUUAAAGCUUCGUGCUGGUGGUAAUAAGGCUUUUUAAAAUAUGCAAAAUAAUCACAUAUUUAUUAUGUGUACGUUUCUCCUGUCCUGUAUGAUGGAAGAAGCAGCUGUGGGAAUAACAGAUGUAGACGCGCACAAAAAAGAAAAACUUGCCGCUGACAUGACCAACUGCUCCGUCUACCUUGGGGAUGUUAUGCUGAAGCGUAGUACAACAGGAGGAAGGCGUUUCUGUAUUUGUUCUCCACAGAAGAAAUAAAGAAGGUCAUGUUGGUUUUGAACGCUGUGACGGUCUGAUGAAAUUAAACCUGGCUCUUGCAUGGGAACAGUUUAACGCUUUCUCCAGUAACUACAUGAAAACUUGGAAAGCAACAGACAGGGAAAUGUAGAAAGGUUAAUUUCAUUUACAGCUGUGUUGUAUGAGUUGUCUCCUCAUACCUCAUGUUUUUCUUUAUUAGUUAGGUUACAUAAAGGUUUAAAAGUUGGGAGUUUGUAAGAUGAAUGCAUCAUUGCUCACCAAGGCUGCAUUUAUUUGAUCUAAAAUACAUUAAAACAGUAAUAUUGUGAAAUCUUAUUUUAAUUUAAAAUAACUAUUUUCUGUUGUAAUAUAAUUAAAAAUAAUGAAUUCCUGUGAUGGAAUGUGAAACGUAAUUGUUUAGU